AGGAGUAAUAAUGGGUGUAGCAAAAGCACAGCAAUUUUAGGGCCAGUUUAUUUGCGUACUGCAUUGAAAAAUCGGGAUAGCCCUUGAACGUCCAGUUCCCAUUUGACUCCCUAAGAAUGAUGGUAUAUAUGGCAGGGAUGAGACCAGCGUUUCCAUCUUCCAGGAAUUGGUCUUAGCCUUUUAGGCUGGCAAGUACAAGAUCUCCUAAGUGGCUGAAUGGGCUGGCUGGCCUAGACACCCAGGUCCUCCAGUGUAAUGUGAGCUAAAGAUUACGGCAGUGAAUUGGUUUGUCUUGUUCCUGAUUUGAAUGAGAUCACUUCUAAAAUUUUACCAGUGUGGCAUCAGAUGUCUGCUAACAGAAGUCUCUGGGUUUAACAGAAUGAAGAAGAAUGAUGUAACCCCACGAUACCCUCCACGGAUGGCCAGCAUUCCUCGUACAGCAAGGUAGUGUGCUUCCUUGCUGAGGUGUCUCACCCUGCUGGGCUAUGAACUCCCUGGAGACAGGACUCCUCUCAUCUCUGUAUCUCCACUGCCUAGCGUGGUAUCUGGUGCGAAGAAGGAACACAGGAGAUGUGUGAUGAACGAACCAAGAACAGAGAAGGUGGUGUGGCGCCGUCGUGGAGAUGCUGGGACGGCCGAGGCAGAAGUGGGCUGACGCAAACAACCAUGCCUUUGGAGUCUCCCGUUAGGUCUCAAGUGUUCAUUGCAUUGACCACCCAGCUUGGAAAUGAGGAUGUUGACAAAAAUAAACCAUGUGAUUCUCCUGCCACAUCACCCUUCUCUCCCCAGUUAAGGU